UACGUAGGGCGCAAGCGUUAUCCGGAAUUACUGGGCGUAAAGCGCACGUAGGCGGAUUUGUAAGUCAGGGGUGAAAUCCCGGGGCUCAACCUCGGAACUGCCUUUGAUACUGCAAAUCUCGAGUCCGGAAGAGGUGAGUGGAAUUCCUAGUGUAGAGGUGAAAUUCGUAGAUAUUAGGAAGAACACCAGUGGCGAAGGCGGCUCACUGGUCCGGUACUGACGCUGAGGUGCGAAAGCGUGGGGAGCAAACAGG
rnacentral:rRNA from 1 species